rnacentral:tRNA from 1 species
GGGGCUGUAGCUCAGUGGUAGAGCACUUGCCUGGCAUGUGUAAGGCCCUGGGUUCAAUCCCCAACACCA